rnacentral:rRNA from 1 species
ACGAACGCUGGCGGCGUGCUUAACACAUGCAAGUCGAACGGUGAAGCGCCUUCCUUUUUGGUGGGUGUGGAUGAGUGGCGCACGGGUGAGUAACACGUGAGUAACCUGCCCCCUUCUUCUGGAUAACCGCAUGAAAGUGUGGCUAAUACGGGAUAUUCUGGGUCUGUCGCAUGAUGGGUCUGGGAAAGAUAUUGUUUCGGUGGGGGAUGGGCUCGCGGCCUAUCAGCUUGUUGGUGGGGUGAUGGCCUACCGAGGCGGUGACGGGUAGCCGGCCUGAGAGGGUGGACGGUCACACUGGGACUGAGACACGGCCCAGACUCCUACGGGAGGCAGCAGUGGGGAAUAGUGCACAAUGGGCGCAAGCCUGAUGCAGCGACGCCGCGUGAGGGAUGGAGGCCUUCGGGUUGUGAACCUCUUUCGCCAGUGAAGCAGGCCUGCCUCGUUUGUGGGUGGGUUGACGGUAGCUGGAGAAGAAGCGCCGGCUAACUACGUG